rnacentral:ncRNA from 1 species
CUCUAAUACAAAUUUUAGAUUAUAUAUUUUAAGGAAUAUAUACAGUAAAGGUGUUAGUAUUAAAGAGAUUUAUUCCUUCCUAAUAAAAAGGUAAAAAAGAAACAAUAAAAUAAAUGUUAGUAAAAAGUAUUUUGAAUAUAUUUAUUUUAU